GGGCCCGCACAAGCGGUGGAGCAUGUGGUUUAAUUCGAUGAUACGCGAGGAACCUUACCAGGGCUUAAAUGUAAGUUGCAUUAGUUAGAGAUAACUAUUUCUUCGGACACUUACAAGGUGCUGCAUGGUUGUCGUCAGCUCGUGCUGUGAAGUGUCGGGUUAAGUCCCAUAACGAGCGCAACCCCCAUUUCUAGUUGCCAGCGGUUCGGCCGGGAACUCUAGCGAAACUGCCGGUGCAAACCGUGAGGAAGGUGGGGAUGACGUCAAAUCAUCACGGCCCUUACGUCCUGGGCCACACACGUGCUACAAUGGUCAGUACAGAGAGCAGCCACGUACGCGAGUAGGAGCGAAUCUAUAAAACCGGUCUCAGUUCGGAUCGAAGUCUGCAACUCGACUUCGUG
rnacentral:rRNA from 1 species